UACGUAGGGGGCAAGCGUUGUCCGGAUUUCUUGGGCGUAAAGAGCGUGUAGGCGGUCUGGUAGGUCCGUUGUGAAAACUCGAGGCUCAACCUCGAGACGCCGAUGGAAACCAUCAGACUAGAGUCCGGAAGAGGAGAGUGGAAUUCCUGGUGUAGCGGUGAAAUGCGCAGAUAUCAGGAAGAACACCCGUGGCUAAGGCGGCUCUCUAGUACGGUACUGACGCUGAGACGCGAAAGCGUGGGGAGCGAACAGG
rnacentral:rRNA from 1 species